UCCCCAGAAUGCUGUACUGUAUAUACCUGCAGGACCAUCUAUUGCCUAUCACAGACUAAAACCCAUUAGGAUUUGGUUACCUGAUGUAAAUAAUCAUUGAAAAAAAGAAUCCAAGCCUGUCUUUAGUUACGUUCAGUAGCAUGUUCACAUAGAUGAUGGCUAGGUGUAGUGGCCAUGCUAAACCCAUAAGUUUGACCUGAGGCCAGUGCUAGAGGAAAAACCAUGGGCUCACAAAAAUGGUUUAUCUCCUUGUGAGCGUGAAAGUGCAGCCAAAAGAAUAAACGCUGAAGGGUGGCGCUAAGUCACGAGUAACAGAAGGAAGAGGAAAAAGUGGAGGAAGCAAAUAAAUAUGUUAACAUAUCACUCAUAAAGAAUGAGAAAAAGCUGUAAACAAGUAUUUAUUACAAUCCUCACAUUUUCUUGUGAAGCGAUAUGGUGUGGUUUGUGUUGCACAGUUAGCUGCUGCAGUGGCUUUCUUUUAUUUCAUUCUUUCAUUGUUGGAGCUUUAAUUGAAGCAUUGAUUCAUUUCUGUCUGCAGAAUGCUAAGUAUGCUGUGGAAUACGCUGUGAAACUCAGAUAUUCUCAGGUGCAGAAGCUCUGUCUUUCUGCUGUAGAUCUUUCUAUCUUUGUUUAUCUUCAGCUUUAUAUGAGCAGCAGCAGCGGCUCUUCCCUAUCCUCUGUUAUCUGCACUAAACUGUCCAUAAUUACACUUCAGAGAAAUCAUCUCCUAAGUUGAAUGAAAUGAUAUUGUGAUUCUGUUCUAGUGUUAAACAAAUGUCACCUGAGGAGACCCAGUUUUCAGCAGCCUCAAGUUUGGAUGUGAAGAUCCAUUUAGAGACAUCCAGUAUGCACAAAGGCUUGGUGUGUUUACUGACGGCAUUUUGAAGCAGAGCGUUGAAAGGUGACUUGGAGAGCUGACACAGAAGAAGAGGCCAGUAUCCUGGGAAGGUGGACAGGAGAUCAGAUGUGUGAUGGUACAAGACGUCCGUCACAAGCUCGUUCCAGAAAUGAAGAGACAAAGGAGGCUCUGGAGCCUCAGAGAGAAGGUUAAGGUUAAGGUUAAGGUCAAGGUU